rnacentral:tRNA from 1 species
GGCGCCUUGGUCAAGUGGUUAAGACACGGCCCUUUCACGGCUGUAACAUGGGUUCGAGUCCCGUAGGCGUCACCA